rnacentral:piRNA from 1 species
UUUAUCAUAGUAACGAAGUUA